GAUCCCUCUGUACCAUUAACUUCGUAAAGAAUCUAACAGUAAAUUAGUACUACUCGUAAAUUCUUGAAGGCAAGUUUAGUUAUUACUUAGAACUAAUAUUCUUGUACUAAAAUAUAGUUUUUAUUCUGUUUCAAACCCAUGGAGUUUCAAUAUUUACUGACAGCACCAGUAGUUAAUUAACAGAGGUAUUAUUAUUACACAUGCAACAAGAAAGAUCAAAGUUUAUUAUACAUAUAUAGCUAAAGACACAGUAGUCUAGGCUUAUUUCUGGUGAAGAAAAAGGUUAAGAAGAAAAGAGAUAGUACUACAUAUAGAAGAACCAAGCUUUAUAUAUAUAAGCUUGUCUAGAAAUUCUUCAUGGGCGUGAACCAGAGACCUUGUGUAGCAGUUGAGGGGGUGAUUCUGGCACCUUCAAGUCACCACUUGAAGGAGGAGCUGGUGCACUGUUACAAAACAAUAACCCAUCUCAUUACAACCAUGAACUUAGUUAUUUAUGGUUAAACAAAAUUAUAUAUAAAUGUUUGUUUUUAAUGCUUUUAUGAUUUGAUCAAGAGUAAACCCUAUUUUACUAUCUGAAUCUGUGAUAUAUUGUCAUAUUAAUCUCUUGAGUUUAGAAAAAUAUCAAAUAGAUAUCUGAAAUUGAAAUCUGCAAUCAGAAUAGUUUCCUACAGUUGUAUCUGUUGGAGAUUGUAUAUAAUAAUGGUAGUAACUACAGCAAUAAUAAAUUAUAUAUUUCAAAGACAGUAGUUUUAUUUAAGAAGUAUUAUGACAAUGUCUCACAGAUUCAUUAACAAAAUGAAGAGUUACUUGAUUGUGAGAAGGGUUGUUGAGAAAAGUAGUUACUUGGGAGCAACAGAGGGAUUGAUGAGAAGCAUAGCCAUGCAGAACAGACAUUGAAGAAACCACAAAAUUUUCAUUUUUGCGUUUUCGUGAGGAUGUGAAAAUGAAUGAAGACAACACUCAAAUGGCAACACAUUAUAUAUAUAUAUAUAUAUAU
rnacentral:lncRNA from 1 species